rnacentral:pre_miRNA from 1 species
GGGGAGCGCAGGAUCCUGGCUGUGUCCCCUGGCGCCCUGGGCUCUGGGGCCUGCGCAGCUGGAAUUGCGCUCCCAGGGCCCUCAGCCCCCU